GUGAGGAAUAUUGGUCAAUGGGCGAGAGCCUGAACCAGCCAAGUCGCGUGAAGGAUGAAGGUUUUAUGAAUUGUAAACUUCUUUUGCAGGGGAAUAAAGUACGGUACGUGUACCGUUUUGUAUGUACUCUGCGAAUAAGGAUCGGCUAACUCCGUGCCAGCAGCCGCGGUAAUACGGAGGAUCCAAGCGUUAUCCGGAUUUAUUGGGUUUAAAGGGUGCGCAGGCGGGUUGAUAAGUCAGCGGUGAAAGUUUGCAGCUUAACUGUAAAAUUGCCGUUGAAACUGUCGAUCUUGAGUGCAAAUGAGGUAAGCGGAAUGUGUUGUGUAGCGGUGAAAUGCUUAGAUAUAGGAAGGAACACCAGUGGCGAAGGCAGCCAUCUGGCCUAAUACUGACACUGAGGUGCGAAAGCAUGGGGAGCAAACAGGAUUAGAUACCCCGGUAGUCC
rnacentral:rRNA from 1 species